rnacentral:rRNA from 1 species
UACAGAGGGGGCAAGCGUUGUUCGGAAUUACUGGGCGUAAAGGGCGCGUAGGCGGCCACCGCAAGUCGACUGUGAAAUCUCCGGCUUAACCCGGAAAGGUCAGCCGAUACUGCGGGCUAGAGUGCAGAAGGGGCAACUGGAAUUCUCGGUGUAGCGGUGAAAUGCGUAGAUAUCGAGAGGAACACCUGCGGCGAAGGCGGGUUGCUGGGCUGACACUGACGCUGAGGAGCGAAAGCAUGGGGAGCGAACAGG